rnacentral:rRNA from 1 species
GACUGCGGAGGGAUCAUUACACAAUAAAAUAUGAAGGCUGUACGCGGCUGUGCUCUCGGGCCAGUUUUGCGGAGGCUGAAUUAUUUAUUACCCUUGUCUUUUGCGCACUUGUUGUUUCCUGGGCGGGUUCGCCCGCCACCAGGACCACAUCAUAAACCUUUUUUAUGCAGUUGCAAUCAGCGUCAGUAUAACAAAUGUAAAUCAUUUACAACUUUCAACAACGGAUCUCUUGGUUCUGGCAUCGAUGAAGAACGCAGCGAAAUGCGAUACGUAGUGUGAAUUGCAGAAUUCAGUGAAUCAUCGAAUCUUUGAACGCACAUUGCGCCCUUUGGUAUUCCAAAGGGCAUGCCUGUUCGAGCGUCAUUUGUACCCUCAAGCUUUGCUUGGUGUUGGGCGUUUUUUGUCUUUGGUUGCCAAAGACUCGCCUUAAAAGGAUUGGCAGCCGGCCUACUGGUUUCGCAGCGCAGCACAUUUUUGCGCUUGCAAUCAGCAAAAGAGGACGGCAAUCCAUCAAGACUCCUUCUCACGUUUGACCUCGGAUCAGGUAGGGAUACCCGCUGAACUUAAGCAUAUCAAAA